rnacentral:tRNA from 1 species
GGCAACGUGGCCGAGUGGUUAAGGCGGUGCCCUGCUAAGGCAUUGGGUUCUGCCCGCGUAGGUUCGAAUCCNCGAGUGGUUAAGGCGGUGCCCUGCUAAGGCAUUGGGUUCUGCCCGCGUAGGUUCGAAUCCUGCCGUUGUCG